rnacentral:rRNA from 1 species
GUCCACGCCCUAAACGAUGUCUACUAGUUGUCGGGUCUUAAUUGACUUGGUAACGCAGCUAACGCGUGAAGUAGACCGCCUGGGGAGUACGGUCGCAAGAUUAAAACUCAAAGGAAUUGACGGGGACCCGCACAAGCGGUGGAUGAUGUGGAUUAAUUCGAUGCAACGCGAAAAACCUUACCUACCCUUGACAUGGCAGGAAUCCCGGAGAGAUUCGGGAGUGCUCGAAAGAGAACCUGCACACAGGUGCUGCAUGGCUGUCGU